rnacentral:rRNA from 1 species
CCUGGCGGCCUUAGCGCGGUGGUCCCACCUGACCCCAUGCCGAACUCAGAAGUGAAACGCCGUAGCGCCGAUGGUAAGG